rnacentral:rRNA from 1 species
AUUGAACGCUGGCGGCAUGCCUUACACAUGCAAGUCGAACGGCAGCACGGACUUCGGUCUGGUGGCGAGUGGCGAACGGGUGAGUAAUGUAUCGGAACGUACCUUUCAGUGGGGGAUAACGUAGCGAAAGUUACGCUAAUACCGCAUAUUCUGUGAGCAGGAAAGCAGGGGAUCGCAAGACCUUGCGCUGAUUGAGCGGCCGAUAUCAGACUAGCUAGUUGGUGAGGUAAAGGCUCACCAAGGCGACGAUCUGUAGCGGGUCUGAGAGGAUGAACCGACACACUGGAACUGAGAAACGGUGCAGACUCCUACGGGAGGCAGCAGUGGGGAAUUUUGGACAAUGGGGGCAACCCUGAUCCAGCCAUGCCGCGUGAGUGAAGAAGGCCUUCGGGUUGUAAAGCUCUUUCGGCCGGGAAGAAAUCGCAUAGGUUAAUACCCUGUGUGGAUGACGGUACCGGAAUAAGAAGCACCGGCUAACUACGUGCCAGCCGCCGCCGUAAAAC